rnacentral:rRNA from 1 species
ACGGGUGCCUAACGCGUAUGCAACCUACCUUAAUCAGGGGGAUAGCCCGGAGAAAUCCCGAUUAACACCGCAUAAAAACACAGGAUAGCUUUAUCCGCUGUUCAAAUAUUUAUAGGAUUAAGAUGGGCAUGCGUGUCAUUAGCUAGUUGGCGGGGUAACGGCCCACCAAGGCAACUAUUACUACGGGAUCUGAUAGGAUGACCCCCCACACUGGUACUGAAACACGGACCAAACUCUAACGGGAGGCAGCAGUAAGGAAUAUUGGUCAAUGGGGGCAACCCUGAACCAGCCAUGCCGCGUGCAGGAAGACUGCCCUAUGGGUUGUAAACUGCUUUUAUCCGGGAAUAAACCACAUUACGUGUAGUGUGCUGAAUGUACCGGAAGAAUAAGGAUCGGCUAACUCCGUGCCAGCAGCCGCGGUAAUACGGAGGAUCCAAGCGUUAUCCGGAUUUAUUGGGUUUAAAGGGUGCGUAGGCGGCCUGUUAAGUCAGGGGUGAAAGACGGUAGCUCAACUAUCGCAGUGCCCUUGAUACUGAUGGGCUUGAAUGGACUAGAGGUAGGCGGAAUGAGACAAGUAGCGGUG